rnacentral:rRNA from 1 species
CCUAACACAUGCAAGUCGAGCGGCAGCGGGAAAGUAGCUUGCUACUUUUGCCGGCGAGCGGCGGACGGGUGAGUAAUGCCUGGGGAUCUGCCCGAUAGAGGGGGAUACCAGUUGGAAACGACUGUUAAUACCGCAUAAUGUCUACGGACCAAAGUGUGGGACCUUCGGGCCACAUGCUAUCGGAUGCGCCUACGUGGGAUUAGCUAGUUGGUGAGGUAAUGGCUCACCAAGGCGACGAUCUCUAGCUGGUUUGAGAGGAGGAGCAGCCACACUGGAACUGAGACACGGUCCAGACUCCUACGGGAGGCAGCAGUGGGGAAUAUUGGACAAUGGGCGCAAGCCUGAUCCAGCCAUGCCGCGUGUGUGAAGAAGGCCUUCGGGUUGUAAAGCACUUUCAGCGAGGAGGAAGGGUGGUGUGUUAAUAGCACAUCAUUUUGACGUUACUCGCAGAAGAAGCACCGGCUAACUCUGUGCCAGCCGCCGCCGUAACAC